AGACUCCUACGGGAGGCAGCAGUGGGGAAUCUUAGACAAUGGGCGCAAGCCUGAUCUAGCGAUGCCGCGUGAGUGAUGAAGGCCUUAGGGUCGUAAAACUCUUUCGCCAGGGAUGAUAAUGACAGUACCUGGUAAAGAAACCCCGGCUAACUCCGUGCCAGCAGCCGCGGUAAUACGGAGGGGGUUAGCGUUGUUCGGAAUUACUGGGCGUAAAGCGUACGUAGGCGGAUCAGAAAGUAAGGGGUGAAAUCCCAGGGCUCAACCCUGGAACUGCCUCUUAAACUCCUGGUCUUGAGUUCGAGAGAGGUGAGUGGAAUUCCAAGUGUAGAGGUGAAAUUCGUAGAUAUUUGGAGGAACACCAGUGGCGAAGGCGGCUCACUGGCUCGAUACUGACGCUGAGGUACGAAAGUGUGGGGAGCAAACAGGAUUAGAUACCCUGGUAGUCCACACCGUAAACGAUGAAUGCCAGACGUCGGGUAGCAUGCUAUUCGGUGUCACACCUAACGGAUUAAGCAUUCCGCCUGGGGAGUACGGUCGCAAGAUUAAAACUCAAAGGAAUUGACGGGGGCCCGCACAAGAAG
rnacentral:rRNA from 1 species